UGCCCAUGUGAAGAGAAGGUUAACUUUUGCUCUUUCCUUCCCAGUGUUUACCAACGUAUAGACAAAAACAGCAGUAGGAAGACUGCUGUCUCUAUAAUUAUGCGGUAUGAACGGUGAUAUUUGCCUGCACGAGAUUUUCAGGUCAGGGUCUGGUUCACCAUCAUAUAUCGUCCAUGCCCUAGGAAAUAAAGCAUGAUACGUAGAAUGUUGACCACUUAAGUUCCAGCCCCAUGAUGAAAUACCCUGAUCACCAGCUUUCCCUAAACCUUCAUGUUGGCCAGGAGCCAAAACUGAUGCAUAUUUUUUAUUCCCUCCAUCUCGAGAUAUAAAAAUAGAGAACUGAUUGGCCAUGACAGGUGAAGCAUCACAUAUAC
rnacentral:misc_RNA from 1 species